AGCAGCCGCGGUAAUUCCAGCUCCAAUAGCGUAUAUUAAAGUUGUUGCAGUUAAAAAGCUCGUAGUUGAAUUUCGGGAUUGGCGCAUCGGUCGUGCCUUACGGGGUAUGAACUGGUGCAGUCAAUUUCUCACCUUCUGGAGAACCGCGAUGUCCUUAAUUGGGUGCCGCGGGGAACCAGGACCUUUACUUUGAAAAAAUUAGAGUGUUUAAAGCAGGCAUUUUUGCUUGAAUACAUUAGCAUGGAAUAAUAAAAUAGGACGGCGUGGUUCUAUUUUGUUGGUUUCUAGGACCACCGUAAUGAUUAAUAGGGAUAGUUGGGGGCAUUAGUAUUCAAUUGUCAGAGGUGAAAUUCUUGGAUUUAUUGAAGACUAACUACUGCGAAAGCAUUUGCCAAGGAUGUUUUCAUUAAUCAAGAACGAAAGUUAGGGGAUCGAAGACGAUCAGAUACCGUCGUAGUCUUAACCAUAAACUAUGCCGACUAGGAAUCAGACGAUGUUAAUUUUUUAAUGACUCGUUUGG
rnacentral:rRNA from 1 species